UGAGCAUGGCCAAGCUAGACACCAGAAGAGUAUUGCAUACUCAGCUACUCCAAUCGUUUGGGUCUUUGGGGAUGGUGGACUCGAUUGCUGAAUCAAUGGUGCCAUGUCAUGCCCCCUAUAUUACCUUUGCCCAAAUCAAAGUGCAUAUAUUUCCACGAGUUAUAGGGGGCAUGGCUGGGACGGUGAUGGAGGAGCAGUGACGAGCCAAAUGGCCAUGGCGCCGCUCGCUGGAGCACAUCAACAUCUCGUCGCUCGUCAAUAUUACUUAUCCAUGUGAUGACAUGCCCUCGCUCGCUAAUCUGGAGCUUCAACCAUCUCAUGGAGGACGCCGUCUGGUAGAUGUCCUGCGAAGCCCGCUAUGCCACCUCCAGCACUAGGAGAUGAGGCGGCCCAGAGGUCCGGCCUCCUCAUAUCCCUCGUCACCAUCUGCGCACUCGUGGCGGCGCACAUCGCCCACCAGAAGGACUGCAGGCCCGUCGACUUUGUGCGUGGCGUCAUCCUCGUCAAACACAAUGCCCGCAACCUGCUACUGUCGCCGAGAGAGUGUAUGUUUCAUAGUGGUGUGAAAGGGUUGAGCAACGAAUGAGGUUUUUUUAGUCCUAGGAAUUUGAGAAGAUUUGUCCAAAUUGGUGAUGAAAUCCAAGCUGCUCGAUUUCUUCUCGGACAUGGAUGAGCCCCUCAGGUAUGACAGAUCUCUCAGAGGAUCUCUGCCAGCAUGAAAAGUUCAUGUUCCAGUGAGGAGGCUCACCAUCACCUACGUCAUGUUACUUAGGAAUUAUAUACUGAGUUUGAUUGUGUUUCAAGAUAUUGAGUGUCCGUAAGAAUUUGAAACAGGCUACAGAUCAAUUUACUUUGGCCUGUUCAAGGGAACACGUUUAGGAUGUGGCAAGUAACUUAGUUUCUACACUUGUAUGGCGACGAGAGAUUCAUGUAUGGUUUUUCUCAUCAAAUAUCAAGCAGGGCACUGCAAAGAGAACAGAAACCCAUCUCCACGGCAUGAAGACUGGUGUGUUGGGAAAUGCUCCAUGUUGAAAUUGAAACUUUUCAUUCCCGGUUCCUGAUACACCCACUUAGGAGCUGAGCUUGGAGUGAUGCGAUGUCUUUCUGCUGUUGAUUAUUUUCAAGGUGUUCAUUUUGCCUCACAGCUGGCUGCGCAGUUUAUAUGCAAAUACCUAUGGGAGCCAACAGCUUGAGAGCGUUGCUGACUCAGCUACUGGGCAUGUGGUUAAUGGAAUUGUAGUUGUUCUGUACAAAAAUUCUGUAAAAAAGCGGGAAAUUAACUAUAACCAAUAUGUGAUUUGUUUCAUUCUUGAAGUUGUAUUUGGGCUAUGUAUCAUUUAGUGUUCAAUGGUUUCAUAUCCAACUUGCGGUAAUGUGUUAGUGCAGAUGGUCACCACACAUCUGGAUGCUAACAAGGUGUUUGGUUUAUGAUUUUGUAACCUGAUUA